GACAGAGGAUGCAAGCGUUAUCCGGAUUGAUUGGGCGUAAAGAGUUCGUAGGUUGCUUUCUAAGUCUGUUGUUAAAGACCAGAGCUUAACUUUGGUUCAGCAAUGGAAACUUGAAAGCUAGGAGUGCAAUAGGGGCAAUGGGAAUUUCCGGUGUAGCGGUGAAAUGCGUAGAGCUCGGGAAGAACACCAGAAGCGAAGGCGCGUUGCUGGGUUGGCACUGACACUAAAGAACGAAAGCUAGGGGAGCAAAUGGG
rnacentral:rRNA from 1 species